AUUGAACGCUGGCGGCAGGCCUAACACAUGCAAGUCGAACGAAUGGCGGACGGGUGAGUAAUGUCUGGGAAACUGCCUGAUGGAGGGGGAUAACUACUGGAAACGGUAGCUAAUACCGCAUACCAUCAGAUGUGCCCAGAUGGGAUUAGCUGGUUGGUGGGGUAACGGUUCACCAAGGCGACGAGCCCUAGCUGGUCUGAGAGGAUGACCAGCCACACUGGAACUGAGACACGGUACAGACUCGUACGGGAGGAAGCAGUGGGGAAGAUGGCACAAUGGGCGCAAGCCUGAUGCAGCCAUGCCGCGUGUAUGAAGAAGGCCGUCGGGUUGUAAAGUACUUUCAGCGGGGAGGCGUUACCCGCAGAAGAAGCACCGGCUAACUCCGUGCCAGCCGCCGCGGGAAUAC
rnacentral:rRNA from 1 species